GAUGAACGCUGGCGGCGUGCCUAAUACAUGCAAGUCGAGCGGACAGACGAGGAGCUUGCUCCUCUGACGUUAGCGGCGCACGGGUGAGUAACACGUGGAUCACCUCCCUCUCAGACUGGGAUAACUUCGGGACACCGGCGCUAAUCCCGGAUAAUAUCUUGCACCGCAUGGUUCAUUAGUGAAAGACGGUUUUGCUGUCUCUUAUAGCUGGAUCUCGGCCGCAUUAGCUAGUUGGUAAGGUCACGGCUUACCAAGGCAACGAUGCGUAGCCGACCUGAGAGGGUGGUCGGCCACACGGGAGCGGGAACGCGGUCCAGGGGACUACGGGAGGCAGCAGUAGGGAAUCGGCCGCAAUGGGCGAAAGCCUGACGGAGCAACGCGGCGUGAGUUAUGAAGGUGUUCGGAUCGUAAAACUCUGUUAUUAGGGAAGAACAAAUGUGUAAGUAACUAUGCACGGAUUGACGGUACCGAAUCAGAAAGCCACGGCUAACUACGUG
rnacentral:rRNA from 1 species